CAGUAGCCACGGUAAUACGAAGGGUGCAAGCGUUAAUCGGAAUUACUGGGCGUAAAGCGUGCGUAGGCGGUGAGUUAAGUCUGCUGUGAAAUCCCCGGGCUCAACCUGGGAAUGGCAGUGGAUACUGGGUCACUAGAGUGUGGUAGAGGAUAGUGGAAUUUCCGGUGUAGCAGUGAAAUGCGUAGAGAUCGGAAGGAACAUCUGUGGCGAAGGCGACUAUCUGGGCCAACACUGACACUGAGGCACGAAAGCGUGGGGAGCAAACAGGAUUAGAUACCCCUGUAGUCCCUGUCUCUUAUAC
rnacentral:rRNA from 1 species